GGGGGGUCCCUUCAAAUACAAUAGAGGAGAGCUAGACAGCUGAGGUGUAUUGCUGUGAAAAAGGAAUACAUUUUAAAGGGAUGAAUAAAGAGAAGUAUUGCUCUACUCAGCAUCUUACUUAUCACUUACUUAUCAUUUACUUAGUGAAGUAACAUUUCCAGCUUACCUGAAAAGAUGCAGCUCAGUGAGACAGAGUGAAGAGGAGGCCAACGUGAUUGAUAUAAGGUCUGGCAAACCUGACCUGAGAGGAGAGAGAGAAGAACACUGUAGUUGUUUGGGCUAGAGAAGAAGUGUCUGAGAGCAAACAAAGUUUAUGAAGGCUGUUAGAAAGGGGGUUAAGGAAUAAUCUGUUCUCCAUGUUUGUGGUAGAUGGGAUGAGGCUUAAAGCAUAACCUCUCAGGUUGUGAGUAGAUACUGGGAAGAGCUUUUCCCGGUAAGGACAGCUUGACUGGGACACUACUGAAUCUUACCUCAGGAGACCUAUAGAAAAAAGUAGAGGGGAGGCAGGAAAACCUGUCUUCUCCCUCAGAUGCUCUCAAGCAUCUUUGACAGCAGAAAUUAAAUUCCUUCAAGCCACUUGAGACUGCUGCUCUUAAAAACCCAUUCUGCACUCCUCAAUCACAGAGGAUUUAGAGGGAGAGAGAACCAUUGUGACAUAAAAAUAAAAUAAUGCAGAAAAAAUUGAGCUCACCUUGCCCUUCAGUGUGGGAACCUGUGACCAUGUCUUAGGGCAGCUGGCUCUUCCUGAGGGCUCUGCCUCUGCCCCCAGUUCUCUCUGUCCAUGUAGCCCUGUGGACAGAGCAGCUGCUGGGCUCAGCUCUCUGCCCCAUCCUGACAUGAGGGGAGUGACUGAGCAGCUGUGUGGUGCUUCGUUGGGGUGAAACCAUGACAGCUGUGAAGAGAGAGACUCUGACCCCAAGGCACGAGCUGAGAUGACAUGAUGCUGAGUGACUCAAAACACAACGCCACUCAGAUGAAUUUUUAAUAUGUUUGCAAAUAUGAGUGUUCAAACUGACUAAGGCCAGAAGGAAAUUUUGACACUUGCCUCCACUGCACUUUUUGUCUUGUUCAAACUGAAAUCCUGACUGAAUUCAAGACUGAGCUUCUGAUCACAGUCCAGAGCCAGGUUUUUGCCUUUUCUAGGUAUUAUACCAAGUCUGAUCCAUAGAGAUGUUCACAUGCACGUGCUGAACAAAUGGAGUAAAUUUGGGAGUGAUAAUGUUGUUGGGUGAAAGGAAUCUUUGUGUAAAAAAGUUUUACUUAAAAAAAGAGUGUGGGAUUUGCACACCACUGAUGUCUAUAACGUCACUUUCACAACAUGAAAGCUUGAAAAAUGAGAUACAGAAAAAUUACUUGCAGUGAAAAAAUUAUUCAAAAUAUUACCUUAGUGGUUUGCUUUGGGGUUUUUUUGCCUACUUUGGGGCCAACUCUCCUUCUUCAAAAUUCCGGAUUUUUGGAUGAGCAUUUUUCCCAUUUUUAUUGCAUGUAAACAGGAGAGAAGGAAAGGCUGCAGCUUGGAUGGUAAUUGCUCUCCUGGGCUAUCUUUUUGAUUCAUAUUCUGUCUGAUGCAGUACAAGAAGCAGUUUGAAUUGCAGAAGAGAGAGAAGGAUUCCAAAGGAAGUGUCAGCUCUAGUUUUCCAUCAGGAGAGGGACUGAAUGGGGCACUUGAGGGAGCUAUUCACCUUCCUGUGGAAGUGGUGAGGAGAAGGAAUACCCACCAGCUUCAUGAAAAAGGAACUAAAUGAAAAUUAUAAAUUCUGAAAGAAGUAACAGCAGUAGUAGCAGGCCAGUGCCCGGUUCUGUUGAUAACCAGCAGGAAAAUUUGAGCUUGAUCAAGGGAAGGAGCAGCCCCAUUUUGGGUUUUCCAAAAGGGCCCUGUUCUCAAUCUGUGCUUAAGAGGAACCUGUCUCUAUUGAUAUGAGAGACUGUCAGCAUUAGACUUAGUGUUUUUCUUUGAUUUCAGCAACCACCAGUGCCUGGCAGCUUAUUUGGGUAGUUAAGUACCUUUAACAGGGCAGCCCUCUGCUUGUUUUUGGUUUUACUGUGAACUCCAUCCAUUUACUGGAGACAUUCUCUGCUACUUGCUGGGAGUAGGGAACAUCAAACCUGGAGCAGGGAUAAACCCUGCAGAUUAUCUGUCCAGGUGAGAUUUAAUGUGGUGCCCUUGGAUGUCUGGGAGAGACCUCAGGAGCUUUGCAGGAACACCCUGAAAAUGUCAGUAUCUCUGCUGGUGGAAAAUGAGAUUCCCUAAAUGUGAAGCAAAUAAAAGUGGUUAGUUAAUGGACCUAACCUAGAAAAAUCUGUCAUAUGGGUUUAUAAAUAUACAUUUAAAACAGGAGAAAACUAAAUUUUGCUGAUUUAUUCCAAAAUUGUGUCUCCUUCUUGUUCUGUACUUGGUCGUGCUUGCUUGUCUAGCUCACACUUCACAUUCCAAGAUAGAUUAAAUAGGCUAGUAUUCAAACCCUUCUUUAAGGUCUUUGGAUUUUAAUCUUCCCCAGGUUCCUCUAUCAGCCCCACUCCUGAAGGAUCUCUGAGCAUGGGGAAGGUCCUGCCUUGUCCACGUGGGAAACACUCACACUGCUGUGGCAGAUCUCUGAAGCUCUCUGUGAGAUCACAAACAAAUCAUUAAUCCACCAAGAGCUGAAAGGUUCUUCUGUCCCUGAAAAGGCAAAGUGGAAGUAGCAACAUGAAAUGUUUUUAAGCUCUUAAGCUUAUAUUUCUUAUUACUGUACAAGCUAUAAGUAAUGUGUGAUAUGAAGAAUUAAUAUGAGGGGUUUUUCACUAUUUUCUGGCUGAGAACAGAAAAUAGUGAAAAAAUACUUCCUUGCUCAUGGAAGUAGCCACCAGGCCAUGUCUGUCUCAGGGGUAUAUGUACCAUGACAGAGAGGAACAGGGAGAAAACUGGGGUGGCUUUUCUCCCUCACAGUAAAACUCCAGUUCUGAGAGGACCUGGAAGAGAGAGACUCACCAACUGGCCGAAGAUGGGGACCAAGAAUUGUUGAUGUGAUGCUGGAAGUAUGAAGGCUGGGAAUCAAAAACUAGCAAGGCAGAUGUGCAUGAGACUGCUGGAAUUGUGCUCCACUGGCCUGGAAAACCAGGGCAAAAGUGUUGGAUCUUCAAAAAGCCAAAUAUACUGUUUUCCAGACAAAAGUAAUUUCUUGGCUGUCAGUGACAGCUCCUUUUUAGGAGGAUCCUGUUUUGUAACUGUGAAUGUAAAGAGCUGCUUGGCAGCCAGCCAGCCAGCCAGCAACACAGCUACUUAAUUUACCAAUGAAAACUUUGAAGAAAUGGGGGAAGCUUGCUAGAAAGCAGGUCUGCAAUACGGCAGGCUGUGUUUCUCCUUGCAACAGAAAAUCCGAGAAAGAUUUGAAGGACCACAUAAAUAUAUCUUGUGUACUCAGAUUUACUGAACCAUAUAAAAUUUAGUGGCUAGAAUAGAGUACACAGAGUAACUCUGCAUUUACCUCAGUCCCUUUUCUUCAGAAUGGCAGCUCUUGGACCACCUUGGGCCUCCUUGGGUUUAAAGAAGUCAGACUCUUGCCCUUUGUGUAAGGGUGGGCUGGCUCUAGCCUGGCAU